rnacentral:lncRNA from 1 species
CUGUGCCCUGACCACACCUGUGUCCUGACCACACCUGUGCCCUGACCACACCUGUGCCCUGCUCCAGGAUCCCAGAAUGGCCCCACCUCAGCACUCUAGUCGGAGUCCGGCCAACACCUGGGCACCAGGGGAAAGUGGCCUGCUGGGGGAGGAAGUCAGGCCUGGGGAGGCUGUGGACCCUGGGAGCUUCCUUGCCUGCCCCCGCCCCACCUUCACUCCUGCACACAAAGGCACAGAGACACACGAAUGCACAACGCCUCGCCACGCUCUCGCACGGAUGCCACGUGGCAGCAGAAGUAGAAGACUCCACCCUGCUCAGCUUCUGACCUGUGACCUUGGCCAUGUCGCUGGCCCUCCCUAAGUCUCUGUCUCCCCAUUGUGGGUGGAGGGGCUGGGCCCAGGGGCCUGGGGGGCAGGAGGCUGAGGCUGGGUGUGGGCUGGGGCUGUCCUGGCCCCCGCUCCUGUUUCGACCACCAGGCUUCCUCCCCCUGCCCCUCUGGGGAGGGACCAUAAUUAACGUCUUCCUGUUCAGAUCAGGAGUCCGUUUCCAAAAACAUUUUUGGAAGGAUUAUUUUGCAAAGGAAA